GAGAACUGAUUUCUUGAUAGGUGGAAUGACGGAGUAACGCCCUGAAACGCCUACUCUGAUACUCCGACAUGCUUUGACUAAGGUUAAAUAGCAAAGUAUGAAGCUCGGUGAAGUCGGCAGAGAGAUACCGUAAGUUUACGAUAAUUGUAAAUCACGAAAGCUGUCUAGCGGUAGACGGUGUAUCCUAUAUGCCGGGAGUCCAAAAA
rfam:Lysinibacillus macroides strain DSM 54 Scaffold2, whole genome shotgun sequence.